UACGAAGGGUGCAAACGUUGCUCGGAAUUAUUGGGCGUAAAGCGCACGUAGGCGGCAUUGCAAGUCGGAUGUGAAAUCUUAUGGCUUAACCAUAAAAGUGCAUCCGAAACUGCAGUGCUUGAGUACUUAAGAGGAUCGCGGAAUUCCCGGUGUAGAGGUGAAAUUCGUAGAUAUCGGGAGGAACACCAGUGGCGAAGGCGGCGAUCUGGGAAGAUACUGACGCUGAGGUGCGAAAGCGUGGGGAGCAACAGG
rnacentral:rRNA from 1 species